GGUAGUCCACGCCGUAAACGAUGGCCACUCGGCCUUUGGAGGCGGAAUCUCCGUCUGUGGGGGCCUUAGCUAACGCGGGAAGUGGCCCGCCUGGGAACUACGAGCGCAAGCUUAAAACUCAAAGGAAUUGACGGGACCCGCACAAGCAGCGGAGCGUGUGGUUUAAUUCGAUGCAACGCGAAGAACCUUACCUAGGCUUGACAUACACUCGCAACCCAGGGAAACCUGGGCCUCCUUCGGGACGGUGUACAGAUGCUGCAUGGCUGUCGUCAGCUCGUGUCGUGAGAUGUUGGGUUAAG
rnacentral:rRNA from 1 species